CUGCUGUGUUGAGCAGAGGUUUUCAUUCUUAUUUCCGCCAAGGACCCUUACAAGAUAGAGAAUAUACCAGAGACCCCCUAAUGUAUGUCCCUUGGAAUAAUUUGACGUAGCCUAUUUUUCACACUUAUAAAGUCUUUAUCUGAAAAAAUAAAUGUAUUAGAAAGAUAAUAAA